rnacentral:rRNA from 1 species
UGGGCAAUCUGCCCUUCACUCUGGGACAAGCCCUGGAAACGGGGUCUAAUACCGGAUACCACUCCUGCCUGCAUGGGCGGGGGUUGAAAGCUCCGGCGGUGAAGGAUGAGCCCGCGGCCUAUCAGCUUGUUGGUGGGGUAAUGGCCCACCAAGGCGACGACGGGUAGCCGGCCUGAGAGGGCGACCGGCCACACUGGGACUGAGACACGGCCCAGACUCCUACGGGAGGCAG